CCUACGGGCGGCAGCAGUGGGGAAUAUUGCGCAAUGGGCGAAAGCCUGACGCAGCAACGCCGCGUGAGGGAUGAAGGUCUUCGGAUCGUAAACCUCUGUCAGCAGGGAAGAACGGUCACUGUGCUACUCAGCAGUGAAUUUACGGUACCUGCAAAGGAAGCACCGGCUAACUCCGUGCCAGCAGCCGAGGUAAUACGGAGGGUGCGAGCGUUAAUCGGAAUUACUGGGCGUAAAGCGCUCGUAGGCGGUAUGGCAAGUCAAGGGUGAAAUCCCCGCGCUCAACGUGGGAACUGCCUUUGAAACUGGCAAACUGGAGUGGGGGAGAGGAUAGUGGAA
rnacentral:rRNA from 1 species